GAUAAGAACGCAGCGAAAUGCGAUACGUAAUGUGAAUUGCAGAAUUCAGUGAAUCAUCGAGUCUUUGAACGCACAUUGCGCCCCCUGGUAUUCCGGGGGGCAUGCCUGUCCGAGCGUCAUUGCUGCCCUCAAGCACGGCUUGUGUGUUGGGCCUCCGUCCUCCUCCCGGGGGACGGGCCCGAAAGGCAGCGGCGGCACCGCGUCCGGUCCUCGAGCGUAUGGGGCUUCGUCACCCGCUCUUGUAGGCCCGGCCGGCGCUUGCCGACACAUCAAUCUUUUUUCCAGGUUGACCUCCGAUCAGGUAGGGAUACCCGCUGAACUUAAGCAUAUCAAUAAGCGGAGGA
rnacentral:misc_RNA from 1 species